UACGUAGGGGGCAAGCGUUGUCCGGAUUUAUUGGGCGUAAAGCGCUCGCAGGUGGUUCGUUGCGUCGUGCGUGAAAGACCCUGGCUCAACUGGGGAGUGUCGUGCGAUACGGGCGGACUGGAGGCCAGUAGGGGGAUGCGGAAUUCCGGGUGUAGUGGUGGAAUGCGUAGAGAUCCGGAGGAACACCGAAGGCGAAGGCAGUGUCCUGGCGAGUACCCUGACGCUGAGGUGCGAAAGCCAGGGGAGCGAACGGG
rnacentral:rRNA from 1 species